AUGGAUGCAUUUAUAGCAGUUCCUGAUCCAUAUGAUUGUGUCUACAAGAAUAUACCUGUAAGUACUCACACGCUGGCACCUAAACCUGAUUGCAAGCACUGUGGUGCAAAGAGGUUCCAGUAUGAGACAAAUGGAAUUUAUUUUCAGUCUGGAAAAGUUAAGUUGGCACACUUAGAACCACCCUUGGAACUUAAAAUGCUAUACACAAGUUCAGAUCCCAAUGCCAUGCAUUUUAGGGAUAACAUUCGAUACUUCAAUGGACACUUUUCAUUCACUACCCUU
rnacentral:rRNA from 1 species